CGCUGGCGGCGUGCCUAAUACAUGCAAGUCGAGCGGACAGAAGGGAGCUUGCUCCCGGAUGUUAGCGGCGGACGGGUGAGUAACACGUGGGUAACCUGCCUGUAAGACUGGGAUAACUCCGGGAAACCGGAGCUAAUACCGGAUAGUUCCUUGAACCGCAUGGUUCAAGGAUGAAAGACGGUUUCGGCUGUCACUUACAGAUGGACCCGCGGCGCAUUAGCUAGUUGGUGAGGUAACGGCUCACCAAGGCGACGAUGCGUAGCCGACCUGAGAGGGUGAUCGGCCACACUGGGACUGAGACACGGCCCAGACUCCUACGGGAGGCAGCAGUAGGGAAUCUUCCGCAAUGGACGAAAGUCUGACGGAGCAACGCCGCGUGAGUGAUGAAGGUUUUCGGAUCGUAAAGCUCUGUUGUUAGGGAAGAACAAGUGCAAGAGUAACUGCUUGCACCUUGACGGUACCUAACCAGAAAGCCACGGCUAACUACGUGCCAGCAGCCGCGGUAAUAC
rnacentral:rRNA from 1 species